rnacentral:tRNA from 1 species
GGUGAGAUGGCCGAGCGGUCUAAGGCGCCAGACUAAGGACCAGAGCACGUGGUGCUCAGGAUAUCUGGUCCGAAAGGGCGUGGGUUCGAAUCCCACUCUCAAUG